AGCAGCCGCGGUAAUUCCAGCUCCAAUAGCGUAUAUUAAAGUUGUUGCAGUUAAAAAGCUCGUAGUUGAAUUUCGGGAUCAAGGAAUCGGUCAUGCCUUGGUAUGUACUGGUUUUAUUGGUUCUCACCUUCUAAAGAACCAUAAUGUCAUUCAUUUGAUGUUAUGGGGAAUUAGGACUGUUACCUUGAAAAAUUAGAGUGUUUAAAGCAGGCUUACGCUUGAAUACAUUAGCAUGGAAUAAUGAAAUAGGACAUCAGAUUCUAUUUUGUUGGUUUCUAGGAUCGAUGUAAUGAUUAAUAGGGAUAGUUGGGGCAUUAGUAUUCAAUUAGUCAGAGGUGAAAUUCUGGAUCUAUUGAAGACUAACUACUGCGAAA
rnacentral:rRNA from 1 species